GGGCCUUUAACUUAAACGGUAGAGGACCUGAUUGUCAAUUAGGGAGAUGUCAGUUCGAAUCUGAUAAGGCUCG
rnacentral:tRNA from 1 species